GGCCAUAGCUCAGUGAUAGAGUGUCUGCUUUGCACGCAGAAGGCCACAGGCUCGAUCCCAGGCAGGGCUG